rnacentral:rRNA from 1 species
UACGUAGGCAGCGAGCGUUGUUCGGAGUUACUGGGCGUAAAGAGCGCGUAGGCGGUUUUCUAAGUUUGGUGUGAAAUCUCCCGGCUUAACUGGGAGGGUGCGCCGAAAACUGGAAGGCUUGAGUAUGGGAGAGGUAAGCGGAAUUCCUGGUGUAGCGGUGAAAUGCGUAGAUAUCAGGAGGAACACCUGCGGUGUAGACGGCUUACUGGACCAUAACUGACGCUGAGGCACGAAAGCGUGGGUAGCAAACAGG